rnacentral:lncRNA from 1 species
UGACACCCCAAUAGUCUCACAUCGGAUGGGAAUGGGGUUGUCAAUUGGUUUAUAUGAAGACUUAGGCACUAGUAAUAAUAAUUGGAUUUAAGCAUUUUGGGCCGGUGUUUGGGCCCAACGAGUUAUUGUUGCUAGUGGGCUGGGUCGUUACAUUUAGUAUCAGAGUCAGUUCACCAGCCGAAAGUGUGAGAUGAGUCUUGGCUGAGCCAGGGUCGAAAUGGCAGACUAAAACAUGGUUGGUGAUUGACAGGCUAAGUCAGAGUCGGAAUGACAAAGGCUAGCGGGACAAGUCUCACACCACUUGGUGAUUUUGGGCUGUGUGUGUUUAGGGCUGACGAGGACGUCAGGGACUAAACGGAGGGAGUCUGUGACACCCCAAUAGUCCCACAUCGGAUGGGAAUGGAGUUGUCAAUGGGUUUAUAUGAAGACUUAGACACUAGUAAUAAUAACUGGGCUUAAGCAUUUUGGGCCGGUGUUUGGGCCCAACUAGUUAUUGUUGCUAGUGGGUUGGGUCGUUACAAUUAUAAAGCUCAUAGGCUAGCCGAGAGACGAGUCAACCAAUUGGCACUCGACCGUUUCUUCCCACGUAUUCAACUCCGCCUAAAAUUGCUUUUUCGUUUCAGGCAUGCUUUUCUCAGCUCCAGGUGUACCACGUGUCACUUCAUAUAU